rfam:Oryza glumipatula chromosome 4, whole genome shotgun sequence.
AAAAAGGCAAAUAGUGGGUUCCCGUGCCAACGUUUAAUUGUCCGUCUUAUAUGAAAAUUUUUUUAUAAUUAGUAUUUUCAUUGUUGUUAGACGAUAAAACAUGAUUAAUACUUUAUGCGUGACUUAUCUUUUUAAUUAUUUUCAUAAUUUUUUUAAAUAAGACGAACGGUCAAACAUUAGACACGGAAAUCAGGGUUUGUCUUUUU